rnacentral:rRNA from 1 species
AGAGUUUGAUCCUGGCUCAGAACGAACGCUGGCGGCAGGCCUAACACAUGCAAGUCGAACGAUGCCUUCGGGCAUAGUGGCGCACGGGUGAGUAACACGUGGGAACAUACCUUUUGGUGGGGGAUAACUUCGGGAAACUGAAGCUAAUACCGCAUACGCCCCUUGGGGGAAAGAUUUAUCGCCGAAAGAUUGGCCCGCGUCCGAUUAGCUAGUUGGUGAGGUAAUGGCUCACCAAGGCUCCGAUCGGUAGCUGGUCUGAGAGGAUGACCAGCCACACUGGGACUGAGACACGGCCCAGACUCCUACGGGAGGCAGCAGUGGGGAAUAUUGGACAAUGGGCGCAAGCCUGAUCCAGCCAUGCCGCGUGAGUGAUGAAGGCCUUAGGGUUGUAAAGCUCUUCACCCACGACGAUGAUGACGGUAGUG